rnacentral:rRNA from 1 species
AGAGCACAUGGUGGAUGCCAUGGCACUGAUUGCCGACGAAGGACGUAACAAGCUGCGAAAAGCCAUGGGGAGCUGCAAGUAAGCAUUGAUCCAUGGAUAUCCGAAUGGGGGAACCCAGCCGGAGUAAUGUCCGGCUACCCUAUGUUGAAUCAAAUAGACAUAGAGGAGGGCACCCGGGGAACUGAAACAUCUAAGUACCCGGAGGAGAAGAAAGAAAAAUCGAUUUCCGUAGUAGCGGCGAGCGAAGAGGAAAGAGGCCAAACCGAGGGUCUACGGACGCUCGGGGUUGCGGGCCGUCAGAGAGAAGCGGAUGACGAGCUGAAUACCGAAGGAAAGCGGAACCGAAGAAGGUAACAGUCCCGUAAGCGAAGUCAGAAGCGGACAGACGGAACCAGAGUACCGCGGGGCACGAGGAAUCCUGUGGGAAGCCGGGGGGACCACCCCCCAAGCCUAAAAACGAUCAGUGACCGAUAGCGCAUAGUACCGUGAGGGAAAGGUGAAAAGAACCCCGGGAGGGGAGUGAAAGAGAACCUGAAACCAUGUGUUUACAAGCAGAGGGAGCGUGGUUUAAAGCGCGACUUCGUACUUUUUGUAGAACGGACCGGCGAGUUACGUUAUGCAGCGAGGUUAAGGACUGAAGGUCUGGAGCCGAAGCGAGAGCGAGUCUGAAUAGGGCGUAGAGUUGCAUGACGUAGACCCGAAACCGGGUGACCUAUCCAUGGGCAGGUUGAAGUGGUGGUAGAACACUAUGGAGGACCGAACCAGACGUCAUCUGAAAAUGGCGGGGAUGACCUGUGGAUAGCGGAGAAAUUCCAAGCGAGCCCGGAUAUAGCUGGUUCUCCUCGAAAUAGCUUUAGGGCUAGCCUGAGGUUAAUCUUGCGGGGGUAGAGCACUGAAUGAGCUAGGGGGUCACAAAGCUUACCGAACUCUAUCAAACUGCGAAUACCGUGAAGAUGAUGCCUUGGAGUCAGACGGCGAGUUAUAAGAUCCGUCGUCAAAAGGGAAACAGCCCAGAUCGACAGCUAAGGUCCCCAAGUGUGUGUUAAGUGGAAAAGGAUGUGCAGUUGCAUAGACAACCAGGAUGUUGGCUUAGAAGCAGCCACUCAUUCAAAGAGUGCGUAAUAGCUCACUGGUCGAGUGAUUGUGCGCCGAAGAUAAUCGGGGCUAAAACACACCACCGAAGCUUCGGGUUGCUCCUUAGGGAGCAGCGGUAGAGGAGCAUAGUGCAUUGGCAGAAGCGGGAUCGAGAGAACUCGUGGACGAUGCAGUAGAGAGAAUGCCGGUAUGAGUAACGAGAUGCAAGCGAGAAACUUGCACGUCGAAAGCCCAAGGUUUCCUGGGGAAGGUUCAUCCGCCCAGGGUAAGUCGGGACCUAAGCCGAGGACGAUGGUCGUAGGCGAUGGAGAGCAGGUUGAGAUUCCUGCACCGCCGAUGUGAGCGAGGCACUGACACAGAAGGAUAGCAUGAGCCGGUUGAUGGUAGAGCCGGUCUAAGCGGAGAGUCUGCAAUGUAGUGAAGUACGCAUUGUAAGGAUGGGCCGUGAAGGGGAGCGAAAUUAAGUAGCGAAGCAUGUGAAUUCACGCUGGCGAGAAAAGGUGCUAGUAAUUGCAUAGGCGCCCGUACCGCAAACCGACACAGGUGGGCGAGGAGAGAAUCCUAAGACGAACGGGAGAACCAUUGUUAAGGAACUCGGCAAAAUGACCCCGUAACUUCGGGAGAAGGGGUGCCUCGAAAGAGGCCGCAGAGAAUAGGCCCAAGCGACUGUUUAGCAAAAACACAGGUGUUUGCGAAAGCGAGAGCUGACGUAUAAGCGCUGACGCCUGCCCGGUGCUGGAAGGUUAAGAGGAGAUGUCAUCGCAAGAGAAGCAAUGAAUUGAAGCCCCAGUAAACGGCGGCCGUAACUAUAACGGUCCUAAGGUAGCGAAAUUCCUUGUCGGGGAAGUUCCGACCCGCACGAAUGGCGUAACGACUUGGGCGCUGUCUCAACAAUGGACCCGGUGAAAUUGAAGUAUGGGUGAAGAUGCCCAUUACCCGCGACUGGACGGAAAGACCCCGUAGAGCUUUACUGUAGCUUAUCAUUGAGUUUCGGCAACGAAUGUACAGGAUAGGUGGGAGACUGGGAAGCAAGGACGUCAGUCUUUGUGGAGUCGACGUUGGGAUACCACUCUUUUGUUACUGAAAUUCUAACAAUGUGCAGUGAAACCUGGCAAUGGACAGUGAUAGGUAGGCAGUUUGACUGGGGCGGUCGCCUCCCAAAGAGUAACGGAGGCGCCCAAAGGUUCCCUCAGAAUGGAUGGAAACCAUUCGAAGAGUGCAAAGGCAGAAGGGAGCCUGACUGCGAGACGGACAGGUCGAGCAGAGAGGAAACUCGGGCUUAGUGAUCCGGCGGUUUUUGAGUGGAAAAGCCGUCGCUCAACGGAUAAAAGCUACCUCGGGGAUAACAG